rnacentral:rRNA from 1 species
UACGUAGGGUGCAGGCGUUAUUCGGAAUUAUUGGGCGUAAAGCGUGCGCAGGCGGUCUGCUAAGCGAGAUGUGAAAUCCCCGGGCUUAACCUGGGAACUGCGUUUCUAACUGGCAGGCUUGAGUGUGGCAGAGGGGGGUGGAAUUCCUCGUGUAGCAGUGAAAUGCGUAGAGAUGUGGAGGAACACCGAUGGCGAAGGCAGCCCCCUGGGCUAACACUGACGCUCAUGCACGAAAGCGUGGGGAGCAAACAGG